rnacentral:sRNA from 1 species
CCCGAACCCUCGUGUGAAGGGUGCAGUACCUAAUCCGGAGCGGGGUAGAGGCGGGCCGGCACCCCCUUCUGACCUCCGGUGCCGCCGGCCUCAAGAUCAGACAUGGCCCAGAACUUGAAGGACUUGGCGGGACGGCUGCCCGCCGGGCCCCGGGGCAUGGGCACGGCCCUGAAGCUGUUGCUGGGGGCCGGCGCCGUGGCCUACGGUGUGCGCGAAUCCGUGUUCACCGUGGAAGGCGGGCACAGAGCCAUCUUCUUCAAUCGGAUCGGUGGAGUGCAGCAGGACACUAUCCUGGCCGAGGGCCUUCACUUCAGGAUAGUGGGUGCUGCGCGAACUUCCAGCAACAUACAAACUGUUGUUUUCCAAAGGGACAAGAGAAUCUCUCCUUGUCUGUGGUCGUGGGGAGGAGCAGGCAAAAAAACGCGUGGAUCCCUUGGUUCCAGUACCCCAUUAUCUAUGACAUUCGGGCCAGACCUCGAAAAAUCUCCUCCCCUACAGGCUCCAAAGACCUACAGAUGGUGAAUAUCUCCCUGCGAGUGUUGUCUCGACCGAAUGCUCAGGAGCUUCCUAGCAUGUACCAGCGCCUAGGGCUGGACUAUGAGGAACGAGUGUUGCCGUCCAUUGUCAACGAGGUGCUCAAGAGUGUGGUGGC